UCGAACGCUUCUUUCCUCCCGAGUGCUUGCACUCAAUUGGAAAGAGGAGUGGCGGACGGGUGAGUAACACGUGGGUAACCUACCCAUCAGAGGGGGAUAACACUUGGAAACAGGUGCUAAUACCGCAUAACAGUUUAUGCCGCAUGGCAUAAGAGUGAAAGGCGCUUUCGGGUGUCGCUGAUGGAUGGACCCGCGGUGCAUUAGCUAGUUGGUGAGGUAACGGCUCACCAAGGCCACGAUGCAUAGCCGACCUGAGAGGGUGAUCGGCCACACUGGGACUGAGACACGGCCCAGACUCCUACGGGAGGCAGCAGUAGGGAAUCUUCGGCAAUGGACGAAAGUCUGACCGAGCAACGCCGCGUGAGUGAAGAAGGUUUUCGGAUCGUAAAACUCUGUUGUUAGAGAAGAACAAGGACGUUAGUAACUGAACGUCCCCUGACGGUAUCUAACCAGAAAGCCACGGCUAACUACGUGCCAGCAGCCGCGGUAAUACGUAGGGUGGCAAGCGUUGUCCGGAUUUAUUGGGCGUAAAGCGAGCGCAGGCGGUUUCUUAAGUCUGAUGUGAAAGCCCCCGGCUCAACCGGGGAGGGUCAUUGGAAACUGGGAGACUUGAGUGCAGAAGAGGAGAGUGGAAUUCCAUGUGUAGCGGUGAAAUGCGUAGAUAUAUGGAGGACACCAGUGGCGAAGGCGGCUCUCUGGUCUGU
rnacentral:rRNA from 1 species